rnacentral:rRNA from 1 species
GACGAACGCUGGCGGCGUGCCUAACACAUGCAAGUCGAGCGAAGUGAGUACUACGGUACGAACUUAGCGGCGGACGGGUGAGUAACGCGUGGACAAUCUACCCUGUAGACUGGGAUAACACCUCGAAAGGGGUGCUAAUACCGGAUAAUGUCGAGAAGCGGCAUCGCUUUUCGAAGAAAGGAGAGAAUCCGCUAUAGGAGGAGUCCGCGUCCCAUUAGCUAGUUGGUGAGGGUAAAGGCCCACCAAGGCGACGAUGGGUAGCCGGCCUGAGAGGGUGAACGGCCACACUGGAACUGAGACACGGUCCAGACUCCUACGGGAGGCAGCAGUGGGGAAUAUUGUGCAAUGGGGGAAACCCUGACACAGCAACGCCGCGUGAGCGAAGAAGGCCUUCGGGUUGUAAAGCUCAGUAGUAUGGGAAGAUAAUGACGGUACCAUACGAAAGCCCCGGCUAACUACGUGCCAGCCGCCGCGGUAAGAC